AAUUCCCCCACCAGGGUUAUUAUUAAUAUUUUUGUAUUUUAAUAAAAUGCUAUCGUAGUAAUUGGAAGCAAUACUUUGAACUUUUUGUAAUUCUCUGUUCAAAGGUCUCACACAUUUUGUGAAUAACAAGUAUCCUCAGCUUUCCUAUCAGAAGAAAAAUAAUUGAGACUUCCAAUAGACAUCUCUGCUUCCAGACUCAGGCAUGAGAGACAAAUAGGUGAUGGCAUAUUUUGGUAUUUGCAGAAUAGAUAAAUAGCCCAAUCUUUCAUCUCACAGGACACAGAAAAAUGAAUUAAUACCUGUGAAGCAACCAAAACUAUUAGAACAGAAACACAGCUGAAAUAACUGCAUUCACAGUACGUAUGGUAAACACUCAGCAGAUCAACUUUUCAUCAUAUAUUAGAAGAGUGAGAAAAUAAAAUAUUUAGAACCUCAAUGUCAAGUGAGAUAAAAUCUCUUAAGAAAUAGUGUGUGAUCAUGUUAUCAAUUGUAAGUCUGGCAUUUCUAAAUUCUGAGUAACCUCAUAUUAUUUGAAUAUAAUUUUCUAAGUGUAAUUUCUUACAUUUGAAAACGAAUAGAAAAAAUAGUGAAAUUUCAUAUUGUCAAUCAUGAGAGUCAUCUGGCAUAUUUCAAACUAGCAUACAGAACUUUGUUACAUGUAUUAAUUAAUUAAGCGUUACUACUUGCCAUUACAUUUGUGAAAGAGAACUAAAUGAAACAUGUAUUUCAACUCCUAGAUUUAAAUGUAUUUGCUGAGAGAAAAGGAAUGGGGACAAGGAAGAAACUUGCAUUCAGUUCCAAGCUUCAUACAUAAAUAAUAUCUAAUGAACUUAGUCUUCUUCCUAUUCCCCCAAAUCCAGGUCUUCUUUGCCUUGUCAUGUGAAUUUGCCUGUGCUCACACAUUGUAAUUAUGCAUCCCUUAAACUUCUGUUCCCUUUCUAGUUUAAAAUAUCACUCUGUCAUCUGCAUCACUCUUAUGUGACAGAACACAUUGCCUACACCAAGUAAUGUCAGUUUGAGUUGUAACUCCUAAUCAGGACUAGUUACUCAAUCACAAUACAACUAUUUUGUUUAAUUACAAAAAAAUUGCCACAAGAUUAUUUUUGGAAGCAAUUUAAGCAGCUGUCUGCCUAUUGAUAAUGGUUAAGGAAUAACUUUCUACACAGAUCUGAGAGUGAGGGCUGAAGUUGAUCUAGACAGCAGCACCUCUUAAAGCAGUCCACAAUUAAUUUUCUGCUUUUUUAGAAGCUCAGGGAGUAGAAACAAAUUCCACAAAUGUUAUGAAUGAAGGACUGUAAUAGCCAUGAUUCAAUCACAACAUGUAGUAACACUAUCAAUAUAACUGAAGUAAAAAUACUACCUUCUGAUCUUUAGUAGAUCAUUCUACUGUAUGCAUUCUGAAUAAAUCAAUCCUCAAUUUUAUCAUAAAAUAACUCAUCUGAUUCUCAAUUCAUCUGAAUAAUACAGGUAACUAGAUUAGAACUAUAAUCUCAUAGUAAUCUGGCCAUUUUCUUUCUUGAGAUCACAUACCAACAAAAAAAACAACAGCCAACUAAUUGAAGAAUAUUUAUACUUUUUGACAAAUAGACCAUCCUAAUGUAGAGAGAGUACAUGCAGUAGUGAAAAACACCUGUGUUAGGACUCUAAGUGGCCACUGAUGAGUCCUGAUUAUUCUCACCGGGUUAGCCUCCGCCCUAACCCCAUAAUCAUUGGUCCAUGUGCCCUAUUUAAAUUAAUAUCUAGGUUGCUUGACUUUUCUUAAGGUACAUCAGCCGUUUACCCAGGUUCAGUCCUAUCUCCUACUUAGUAUACUACUGUAUACUAUGCUCUUAGAUGAAUCCUAGGCAUGUAUUGUGUUGUGGGAAUGUACCCUGGCUGCUGAAGACCCCACUUGCCUGUGGAUCAUUUCAAGAUGGCUCUUUCCUCAACGGGGAAUGCUGGCUGCCUGGGCACCACUUCUUAAAAAACAGAUAACAAAAAAGUGGUAUAAAACCACUGAAAUGAAGACCUCUGUGAGGUUGGCCUCUGAGAAAAACAAAGUAUAAUGUUAUCCUCAUCAAACCAAGGGGCUCUGAGCUUACAG